AGAGGGGAGGGAGCAGGGGUGGGGAACUCCUGGGGAGGGUUUUUCAGCACUGAAUCUUGGUGUUUGGGAGGUUUUUCUGCAGCCUUGGUUGCUGGUGACUUGUAGAGAUGGUCUUAGGCAGAAAGACCUUCAAACUCUAUGUGCUCAUCCCUUGUUUUACCCAAACCAGGAUUUCCCAUUGUCACUUCUUGUGAGGCAGUGAGGAAGAGGAAGAUGUCCCUGGAAACUGAGGCAGACACCAACGCAGGCACUGGUGAGGGAAGCCCUGUGAGUGCCCCGAGUGCGGGAAGAGCUUCGUGUGCUGCUCCAGCUCCAUCCCCCACUGCAGGACCCACGCUGGGCACAGCCCUGUCCAAAAGCCAAGUGGGAUGGGUCUGUUACUUCAGAACAACUCAGCCCCACUGAAAACAACUCAAUUGUUGAAUGAAAGCUCAAUAGCACCAGGGAUUUGCUUCUUCCCACCUCAAAAAACUAAAUCCCACAACAAAGUCACUCGACUCCAAGACCACCAGGCUGACAUGGGGUUAGAAUGACACUGGGAGAAGUGGGAUCCCAGUUUAGUGCGGAGCCUUCAGGAGAACCUUCAGGAACGGGAAAGGAGGAGGAGGAGGGAGGGAGGAAGAGGCCGAGCAGAAGCAGAAGAGGAGAGGGAGAAUCUCGUGGCCCUGGCGGUCCCUGAAGCCGCCGCAGCCCCGGGAGCAUCGCCCCCCAUCCCGCAGGUGCCCGGGGAGGGGGAGAACGGCCCGAAUAUCCCGGGGGUGCCUGACUUUGGGGUUUUUUGGGGGGGAUGUUUGCAGCUGGCAGGGCUCCAAAGCAGCCCAGAGCAGAGAAUGAGGGGAGAAGGGAGCCCAAAAGGGAGCCCAAAAAGCCCCGGCACCCCUGAAUGGGCAGAGCGAAGAGGUGGCAGCUUUUGGGAUUGCUGGGACUGCCAGCAGCCUGGAGAGGGUGGGCACCGAGGAGAAGGGGGACACAGGUGCAUCUUCCAUUGGUCCAUUUGGAUUGUUUUCAAUCAGUGACCAAUCACAGCCACCUGUGCCAAGGCUGUGAGCAGUCACAGGAUUUUUGUUAUGCAUUCCUAUUCUAUUCUUGUCUUUGUAGCCUUCUGAUCUUCUUCUCUCUGUUCUUUUUAGUAUAGUUUUAAUGUAGCAUUUUAAUAUAAUAUAUAACAUAAUAAAUCAGCCUUCUGAUGAAAAUGGAGUCAAGCCUCGUGUCCUCACACAAAGGGCAUCCUAAACAAUAAUUGGUGACCCCUGGAUGUGUGAAAUUGAUGGCAACCCCUGGAGUGACCACAGAGUCCAGCCUGGAGCUGAAGAAACGAGACCCUGAAGAUGGGCAGAGUUCACAGCCAAGGCAAACAGGAGAACCUGUUGGACUUUCCUGGACAUUGUGUCCAGAGACCGCAGAGCAGCAGAGCUGCACAGCUGGAUCCACAAGGACACUGUCUAAAGGUACUGUUAUUUUUUCCCUUCCUGAAGAUCCUGCCAUUCGCAGAAGGUGGGAGGAAAGUUGGGAAAAUGUACCUUUGGAAGCUCAGGUUCCGUUUACUGCGUCAGAGAAGAAAGUUAUUAAACUCUGGCACAGAUGGGGACACGAGAACGGAGUUAAUAGUGUGUGGGGGAGACUGUGUUAUGAGUUUUUAAGAUGGGCAAAAUUUCAUAGAUUUUUUACAAAUGUCGUAUACUCCCUUGAUUUAGAUCUUUGGGAGUUCAUGGACGCUGCUUUUGAGUGGACAAAGGACCAGGGUGUUACACUCCCAACAAUGUAUGGAGUGCACCUAUGGCUCUUAUUCUGUAUUUUGGAAAAAAGGGAGGCUGCAGGGGACAUCGUGGCUCGGUGGCGCGGUCGUGCUCCGUUUCCACCAGGUUCGGCACGAGAGGAGCCUCUCAAAGAAGACAAACCGCGGGUUCGCAGCCCCCCUGCAUUACCCACA